GUUGCUGGCCCGCUAACCGACCGACGUGACACCGAGAGGCGUGACCCGCGCCGCCGCUGCUGUUAAUUAACAUUACUUCACAGUUUAAGUCAUGAAGAGGACGGAGAAUAAGAACAAGAGGAAGCUCUUGGAGCACCAGGACAGCGGCGCAGCGGAGAAAGAUGCGAUACUGGAAUGUAGAGCCUGUACCGUGACGGAGGCUUUCAUCCAUGACGCCCACGCUGUGAAGACACUUCAUCAGGACCACAGCUGAAUUGUCUUCUGAUUCGCACAGAGGGG
ensembl:lncRNA